AAUUGGAUGACUAGGAUCCUUAUACGUAGACGGUACCGUUGUGCCACCCCUACAACAAGCAUUUCUAGCUUGAAUUUCACUACUACAACAUGAGUGUUUUUUCGACGCUGGGGCCUCGACGCUAGGUAAGGGGUGUCAGCAGGUAGAUUUAGUAUCCGCGUUUUUUGGACGUUUUAGGUGACGAAAGCAAUUUUCGUCGCUAGAAAGCAUCGAGAAGACAAGCAUAUGUCACGCACGUGAAUUGUUAGUACCUCACAACUCAGCCCACGUUUCAAUUUUAAGGGGAAAAUAAACCAAAAAAAUAAAAAGACUACUCAGUUCUCAACCCUAACUAUUCCUCCCUCCUUCAUGAGAUUCAUGUAUUCUAAAUCCAGAUCUUAACUCUCCCUGCAAUUCCCCAAAUUAUGCUUGGUGAAAUUUAUCUACUCACUUUGAACUAUUAUCGAUUUUGUCACUCUCUAUGCCGCCGUUAAUUCUAAGGAUGUACUAGGGACUGUGAUUAAGAGGUUUUGAAGAUCCACUUGCUCUCCCUGAUGCUCUUGUCUUGCUGACAUAGCAGCCAUGUUGGCAGCCUCAUGGCUGGUGGCUAGGCAACAGGUUGGGUGUUGCAGUUUGUCCCUUGUGUAUGGACAGCGAGGUUUGUACUUUAUCUUCUCCGAGCUGUGUAAUUUAAUGAUAACAUGUAUUGACUAUGAUAUCUUUAUAGAUUUCCCCAAUGGAUUUUCAAUAUGUUUGUUUGGUUUGCUGAAAGGUUAUACAUCAUGAACUUCCAAACAAUUCUGACUACUUUGUUCACCAAUCCCUUAUAGUAAAACAAAUCAUUGCUACUAUUGAUUGGUUUUAGAAUUUUUAUAUUCAUUAAUGUCACAAAACUAUGGUUAGAUAUUGGAUUAAUUCAUGAACAAUACAUAUUUUAGGGUUUCAUUAUGUAUACUGUAUAUUUCAAUUUUUUGUGCUACCGUUUUAGUUUAGAAAAAUUAACCAUUAUUCACACAUUAAAACUUAUACGAAUGAAGAGCGUUGUUUGCUUAAUGGUUUAAAAAAAUAAAAAAAAAGGGGAACAUUCUUUUGAUAUUACAGUUUGUUUAAGUGUUCCUUUUUUAAUUUUUAUUUUUUAUAUGAGUCAGGUUAUUGAUGUUUAUGUCUAUUUUGGUUGUUCCUAACAGAUUUCACGUUUUUUUUUCUUGGAUGAUGGCUAUUGUAGACUUAUUGGGUUUGAAGUGAGAAUAGAAGCCUCUUGGUUAUAUUUGUGUGAAUUGUUUGAAAUUCUAGUUUUUUUUUUAUUUUUGCGCAUUUCAAAACAAAAUCAUUUGCCAUUGUUCUAAAUUUUUUAUAAAAGAUAAGAUUCAUUGUCACUAUCCUAUUAUUUUUGAUAAAAUUAUCAGGAAAAAAAGAGGGGGUUAAAGAUAAUGGAUCCUACAGUAGCAAGCUUCAAUGGGGUGCUCAAUAAAUUUAAAUAAAGAGGAAGUUGCAAAUAUCAAAUCUAAUUGCAUCCUCUUUUUGGUUGACAAAUAACCCUUCUACUACUCUCUGUUGCUUUAAUGUUGAUAUUGGAUUUUAGUAAUGGCUACACUUUUGAGAGCUUAUGCAGGAAAUAGGCCAACUUGGAGGACCCCUUAGCACCCUUGGAGGGUCAAGGAUUUAGCCCAAGGGUGUUCCAACCCUUAUUCGCUGGGAGAAUUAUGUAUGUUUCUGCUACGCAUUUGGAAGACCAGAGGCUCACAUUGAAUCAAAUAUUAGUGCCGAGUUUGUAAAGCUAAUGCACCCACCCCCUAGACUGAAAUAAUAAACUUGCUUAGAAUAUGAAGUGACUUAACAGGGGAAGGAUUCGUUACAUACACUAAGGCAAUUUAUCAGCAAGAGGUGUAAAGAGUAAGAGGAAAUUUUAUAGCAAGAGGUCAGAACAGCAAGAGGUGGCUGCUUACUUGGGUUGUUCACAGGUUAUCAAUCCCCAGCAAUUAUUAUUGUUUUAUGUAAAUUCCUACUAUUAGAAAAAGUUGCAGGUUGAUUACUAUUUUCUGAUUAUCGUAUAUACACACUCAUAUAUAUAAACUCGCUGUACUUUCCACAACUUUACAAGUAAACUAGUUCACUAUUGAACAUACACCGACAAGGUAAAGGUAGUAAGGUACUAGAUUUGCCAUUUCUAUUAAAUUAUCCAUUGAACUGAAAAUUGAACUAUAUGAUUUGGUUGAUGCAAUCCCAUGUCCAUUAUAUGUAUAUAUGACAUGUUUAAGUAAGAAAUAAAUAAUAUGCCUUGAAUUGAUUUUCCAUGUAAGAGGGGUUUAAGUGCAACAUCCCCCCUAUGAUUGCUCUGAAGCUAGUGAUAUUUAUUAUAUUUUAACUACCGUUGUCUAUUGAGAUGUGCGGUUUUCUGUCUUCUUUAUAUAGGUUUAUCAAAAACUUUGUUAACUCAAACUUGGAUAUGAGUGUCUUGCCCUACUGAAGUUUCAGGUGUAAAACUACAACUUUCCCUCUCUUAUCCCUCUAGCUUCCCUCUCUCCAUUAAAAAGAAAUGUAUCUUUUGCAUUUGCUCAUUGCAGUUUUCAUGCGGUUGUGAUUCUGAUUUCUUCAAACUGUUUAUAUGCUUUUGUCAUCCCAGGCCACACUAAACCACUAGUUCCUGCCAAUGAUCCAGAAACAUCAAAGGGUGUGUUGUGACUUCAAGGCCAACAAUGAUUGGUCACAAUGUGAGCUUUGCUUUAUGCCCCCUUGCAACCAGAUUAAGGAGCAGCUAAAUUAGAGAUUGAUAGAAGGUUUUUGUGAUGAAUUUAGCAGAUUUGUUCCACUACAACUAGUCACGAAUGAGAUAUAAGUUGGAAUCAUAUAAAGUAUACGAUGAAUUGAAGUACUUCGUAUAUUGUAUUGAUGGUGAGAUAAUAUAUGAUUCGACAAGGAAA